rnacentral:pre_miRNA from 14 species
GCAGCAGUCUCGUACCUCGCUCCUUGGCUUUGAGAACUGAAUUCCAUAGGCUUUAAAAGACAAAAAAAGCCCUAUGGAUUCAGUUCUGUAGCUGGGCGGCAAAUAAACACCCAACUUCCC